GUGAGGAAUUUUCCGCAAUGGGCGAAAGCCUGACGGAGCAAUGCCGCGUGAAGGAUGAAGGCCUAUGGGUUGUAAACUUCUUUUCUCAGAAAAGAAUUAUGACGGUAUCUGAGGAAUAAGCAUCGGCUAACUCUGUGCCAGCAGCCGCGGUAAGACAGAGGAUGCAAGCGUUAUCCGGAAUGAUUGGGCGUAAAGCGUCUGUAGGUUGUUUAAAAAGUAUUCUGUCAAAGAUUAGGGCUUAACCCUAGAUAGGCAGAAUAAACUUUUAAGCUAGAGUUUGGUAGAAGCAGAGGGAAUUCCCGGUGGAGCAGUGAAAUGCGUAGAUAUCGGGAGGAACACCAAAGGCGAAGGCACUCUGCUGGGCCAAUACUAACACUGAGAGACGAAAGCGAGGGGAGCAAAUGGGAUUAGAAACCCCAGUAGUCC
rnacentral:rRNA from 1 species